rnacentral:lncRNA from 1 species
AUUCAUCCUCUCUGUUUCUAAUAAUACCUACAAUCAGUUGUGUGUAUUAAAAGCUUUGUUAAUAAUCUACAAGUGGUAGGUGACCUCAGCUAUUUUGUUCUGUGGUUUAAAGCAUGACCAAGAUUGUGUUUUUGUUUUCCCCAUUUUACAGCUAAAAAGUAUGAUGUUAAAAAUACUGACAAAAACGAGUUGUUGCUAUAAAUAUGUGAAUCGAAUGGGAAUUUUCUGGACUUUGUUAUUAUGAACACUGCACAGAGAAAAAGCCAAUGCAUCCCACCAGAAUGUCAAUGGGAUGGGGUACUGAGCCAAAGGAAAAGGGCAAAGAGCCCACUUUGGUACACCUGGAGUAGAUUACACACAUGGGGUUGAUCUUUCCCUUGAAGCCAAAAAGCUCUGGUAAUGUGCUCUCCACAGUACAUGAUAGAGCAGGGUAAAGCUGGAAAUUAAUCACCCAGUGCUACCAAGGCAGUUCAUUACAUGCAAUUGACAGCUUCCUCUCUGUAUUUUUAGAUGGCUAAGAAUCAAGUAGUUGCACAUCAAAAUGUGGUUUUUUUCUUGCUUCUUGGCACAGGACCCGUAUCUGUCAUCAUUUCAUGUCCUCAAAGGCCUGAGAGGAGCUGCCAUCCUUGGGCAACAAAGGAUGCCAUGCAAAGCAGCUCAGAACUUGAGUUGUUUCAACAGAUGCUGUUUUAUGUUUUGCCAAAGAAUGGCCCCUUUUAUUUCUGUCAUGAAUGCAGUCUUUCUUUCAGUUUCUAAAUGUUUUCCAGUAUUAACCCUAAUCCUUAUCUGUCAUUCUUUUAGGAUGAUGGGCUGUCCCUUUUCCUUUGGAACCAGCAUAACCUUCACCAUGUAAAUAUGGAUUGCAAAGAAAUGGAAACGUGGUGCUGUUCACCUUACAGCUCCUGAUGAUUUCUUACAGUGGGGGAGAGGCGGAUUGCACUUCAAGGUCAGAGUAGCUGAGCCAAGUUAUUCCAGUAUGCGCCUUAAAGGAUGUCAAAGAAUUGAUCUGGUGGAUAAAGUAAUGAGGAGACAGUGGAAGUUCUCAUGCAAAGGAAAAACAAUUGUAAAGAUACAAAGGUAUGAGUGAAAUCAUUCAUUUUUCACUGAACGCUUACUUCAUGCUGGGACCUAAGCAACAACUGUGGCGACAAUGGACUUAUUGGUAAUUUACUAUGUGCAGACACUCUCCUCACCUUUUGACAGAGAACAUUGAUUAGAUGACCAAAAGUGCCCGGCCCUUUGCCAAGUGUGAUAGAAAACAGGGAGAAGGUAUCAUCACUGUUUCACAGAUGCCUACAUUCCAAAGGAUCUCAUCAGAGCAUAAGAGCUCUUCCAGGUAAUUAGUAAUUGGUCCUCACAGCACCCCUGGGAAGUACUACGUAGGCAGCAAAGCUACACAGAGCAUAAAUGAGCCUUUC